GAUCAGCCGAUGGAGAUACGCAGGUCC
rnacentral:sRNA from 1 species